rnacentral:lncRNA from 1 species
GCCAGAAAGACUGCGUGGCUGGAGCAGAGUAGGAUGAGGAAGAAAAGAAGAAGGGAAGAUCAGAGAGCUAACGGAGGGAGGAGGAGAGUACACAGAGGUCUUUAAAGGCCAUAUAAGAACUUGGACUUUUACUCUGAGGUAGGCGAAGAAUUUAGACACUUGCAUUUCUUUUUGGGAAAGAAAUGCCAUGAUCUGACUUAUGUUUCAAAAGGAUCACUUAUACUUCUUUGUGGGCAAUAGAAUGGAAGGAGGCAAGGGUGGGAAUGGGAAAACAGUUAUAAGACGAUUGCUAAAAUCUAGCAAGUCUGAUGAAAGUGAUAGCCAUGGAGGUGGUGAGGAGUAAUUGGUCUCUGAAUUAUGUUUAGGGUAAACACAGGAAGACUUCCUGGUGAAUCGGAUGUACAGUGGGAGUAAUAAAGAGAGGAAACAAGGGUGACUCAAAGAUUUUUGACCUAAGCACUAGAGGGGUGAAUUUUUCAUCUACUGAGAUGGAAAGCUUUGAGCAGCUCAGAUAUUUGGGAGAAGAUCAGGAGUCACUCUUGAAAAGUUUGAAUGAUCUAAAUGAGAGACUUUGAAUAUAGUUUUGGAGUCUGAGGCAAAGGAGCAUUCAGGGCUGGAGAUGUAAAUUUGGCAACAAAGGGCAUACAGAGGGAGACUGGAUGAGAUCCCCAAAGGAAGGAGAGUGGAUAAAAAAAGAAGCUACAAUCUGGGGCAAGUCAGUCCAGGACUAAGAGGUAUAAGAAAAGAUAAGUCAUUCGCAAAGUUCUGAGACUAGCAACCAGUGAAUUAGGAAGCCUUACAAGCCAAAAAAAUAGAAGUAUCAAGGAGUGGUGCCAUCUCUGUCAAGGGGGGUAAAAUGUGAGAGGACCAAAUGUGGGCCAUGAGAUUUAGCAACCUGAAGUUUAUCUGAGACCUCAGUAAGAGCAAUUUUGUUGAGAGUUAAGACCUGAUUUCAGUGGGUCUGUGAGAGAAUGAGAGGAGAGGAACUGGAUAGAAUUAAUACAGACCCCCUUUCUAAAUGUUUUUCUGCAAAGGCAAAGAGAAAUGGAGUCAUACCUGGUAGGGAGAGAGGGUCCAGUAAAAGGUUUUAUUUCUGUUUUUUCUUGUUUUUGUUGGUUUAGUCUUUUACUUUUUAAGAUAAGUGAGUAACAAUCUUUUGUGCUGAGGAGGAUGACUCAAAAAGUGGAAAGAGUUGACAAGGUAAGAGAUGGGAGAAGACAUGCAGGAUGCCCUUGAGUGGGCCGCAGGUCUUGGAAUCUGGUGCACAUGUGAAGAGAUUGGCUCUAGAAAGACCACAGACAAUUCACCUUUCAAAACAGCAAGAAAAGCACAGUGAGUACACGUGCUUGUGGGAGGGUGAGCAGGUGCAGUAGUGAGAGACUGGGGAAAUUCUCUUUUAAUUGUUUCACUUCUGUCAGUGAAGGAGAAAAAAAGAUUGUGCAUUGAGAGUAAACAUGAGGGAGCAGGUGCUGGAGAUUUAAAAGGGAGGUGAGAAAGGACAGUUGAUUGGGAAAGAGAUAGAAUAGUGGCUCUCAAAGGCAGUCUCCAGAUCAGCAGCAUUGGUAUCACCUGAAGACUUGUUAGUAAUGCAAAAAUCUCAGGCCUUACUUCAAGCUUGAUGAAUCAGGAACUCUGAGGUAGGCGCAGCAGUCUGUGUCUUAGCAAGCCUUGCAGGGAUUCUGAUGCACGCUGAAGUUUGAGUGUCACUGGAAUGGAUGGUGUCCAUAUGAUUGCUGGGUCACUCCGCCUAUCCUGAAUGUCAAGAACAUGCCAGUCUUUGCUUCCUCUUCGCCUUCCGCCAUGAUUGUAAGUUUCCUGAAGCCUCUCCAGCUGUGCAAAACUAUAAAAAGAUGCACAUCCAAAAGCCUCAUUUGAAACUUCCAGACAGAGAGCCCAGCAUUUGGAGAGUCUCUUUGGACAGCUUUAAACACAAUUACAGAAAAGAAAGCAAUCUCUCUGAAGUUUGAAACCUUUGAUAUUCAGAAAACAUGAAGACUCAGAGAAGAAAAGUGAUAUGUUAGCAUGCUUUGUAAAUAGUACAGCCAGGACUCCUUUUAUAUAAAAAUCCAUGAUACUUUCUAUUUUUCCCGUGGGUGAAUUUUAGCCAAAGUUUCAAUAUUAAACCUGAAAUCAUCAAAAAGACCAUGGUAAAAUUAGAUGUACAGGUGACCCUUGAACAACAAGGGCUUGAACAAAGGGGGUCUGCUUCUAUGCAGAUUUUUUUUUGCCUCUGCCAUCCCUGAGACAGCAAGACCAAUUCCUCCUCUUCCUCCCACCUCCUUAGCCUACUCAGUGUGAGGGUGAUGAGAAUAAAGACCUUUAUGAUGCUCUACUUCCACUUUAUAAAUAGUGAGUAUAUAUUGUCUUGUGAUUUUAAUAUUUUUUCCUCUAGCUUACUUUAAUGUAAUAGUGUAGUAUAUAAUACAUAUAACAUGCAAAAUAUGUGUUAAUUGACUGUUUAUGUUAUUAGCAAGGCUUCCAAGGAACAGUAGGCUAUUAGCAGUUAAGUUUUGGGGGAGUCAAAAAUUAUACACAGAUUUUUGACUGUACUGUAGGUCAGCCUCCCUAACCU